rnacentral:lncRNA from 1 species
GGAACCCCCAACAGUUAUUACAUGUAUACAUUUCUUAUAAAAACCUGGUGGCCAAAGGGGUUCUGUGCACUGAAGCACUGCUUGAUUUGAAAGGGAUGGAUCAGAAACUUGAAUCGGGCAAAGUUUGCGUUACUGGGGCUUCUGGCUUUCUGGCAUCUUGGCUUAUUAAACGACUUCUCUUGUCUGGCUAUCAGGUAACCGGAACUGUUAGAGACCCAGGUAACCCCCAAGUUAAAAUCUGCAUGAAGUAGAGAUUGCAUUCUUUUUAUGGGACAAAUUUAUAUAUUGUUUCAUAAGACUAUGGUCAUCUGGUUUAUGCAUGCAUUCAAAGGAAACCAGAAGAAAUUGGCGCAUUUGUGGAGGCUGGAAGGAGCUAGGGAAAGACUCAGAUUGGUGAAGGCUGAUUUAAUGGAAGAAGGCAGCUUUGAUGAUGCAAUCUUGGGGUGCCAUGGUGUCUUCCACUCUGCUUCCCCUGUACUGAAACCUUCAUCUGAUCCAAAGGCAUGUUUGAAUAUAUUAUAUGUCCUUAAAAUUAAGGGUAACUUUUUCUUGUCACAUAUUUGGGAUGCCAUGUUGCCAAAUUCUCAAUGUGGAUCAUAUAUUCAAACAAAAGAUCCACCUUAUCAUUUGUUCAGAUUGAUGUUCUAGCAAAAUUGCAAUUGCAUACAAAAUAUCUUGCAAGUCAUCACAAUUGGCCUAAAAUUAAUACCACUCUACAUAAAUUGAGAAUUGUUGUAAUCAUUAUGUGCCAUCUGUGCACAGACAGAAAUCCUGGAACCAGCUGUUGAGGGUACAUUGAAUGUGCUACGUUCGUGCAAGAAAAAUCCAUCUCUAAGGCGUGUGGUUCUAACUUCAUCUUCUUCAGCUGUAAGGGUGAGGCCAGAUGAGGAUUUCGACUCCAAUAUACAGCUGGAUGAGUCGUCGUGGAGCUCUGUCGAAAUCUGCGAGACACUUCAGGUAGCAUUCUGUCCUUGUUGAAGUUUAAAUUCUGUCAUGAUCAUCACCAAAUUCCCAUCAAAUCCUAUGGCCUUUUUGAAUUCAAAGUAACUUUGAAUGCUGCUCUUUUUAUAUCUAAUUCUAUAACAGCUGCAAAGCAAAGCAAUGCAGAACUAUAAUGAUCUAUGCUAGAACAUUACUUAAGCUCCAUAUUUGGCUAUGGUAUGUACAUUAUAUGUAAUCCAUGUGACUGAUUAAGCUGCCUAUUACAAAAGAUUUGGUACCCUUUAUCGAAAAUUUUAGCUGAGAAGGCGGCAUGGGAUUUCUGCAAAGAAAAUGGGAUUGAUUUGGUAACUGUUCUGCCCUCGUUCGUGAUCGGACCUUGUCUGCCAUCAGAUUUAUGUUCUACUGCAUCAGACGUACUUGGCCUGCUUAAAGGUACUCAUUCUUGGUUUAACUACUAAUUCCGUUUAUAUGAUUGUUAAGCGCCGAUUUGUUUGAACAAUAAAGCAGGGGAAACAGAGAAGUUCAAGUGGCAUGGAAGGAUGGGAUAUGUUCACAUUGAUGAUGUUGCACUUUGCCACAUCUCAGUUUAUGAGCAUGAAAGUGCUCAUGGUCGAUACCUUUGCAGCUCAACAGUUUUGGACAACAAUGAGUUGGCUUCCUUGUUAUCCAGUCAAUAUCCUUCCUUACCUAUCCCCAAAAGGUUUGAUUUUUUUUCUCCAGAUAUAAGUAGUAAAAACAACAAAUAGAGAGCUAGCUAGUCUACAUGGGAAUUAAAUUAAGUAAAAAAUUCAAAAUAAUUUUAUGGAAAACAGAAGAUUACGAACUGUUAUUAAGUUUAAUGUGUACAUGGGAAUUUUCAGGUUUGAGCAACUAGGCAGGCCAAGGUAUGAUUUGAACACCUCAAAGUUGAAGAGUCUAGGGUUCAAGUUCAAGACUAUCCAAGAGAUGUUUGAUGAUUGUAUUGCCUCUUUGGUUGAGCAAGGUCAUCUUACUCUCUAG